rnacentral:misc_RNA from 1 species
UCGAGCGUCAUUACAACCCUCAAGCUCUGCUUGGUAUUGGGCCCUCGCCUCCCGGGGCGGGCCUCAAAGUCAGUGGCGGCGCUUCCGGCUUCAAGCGUAGUAAAUUCUCUCGCUCUGGGGUACCGGUCUGCUCCUGCCAGCUAACCCACACUUUUUUAAUGGUUGACCUCGGAUCAGGUAGGGAUACCCGCUGAACUUAA